GUAAAGGCGAUGAGGAAGAGGAGUACGCUGCAAGCGCCGCUUCAGAGAGGGGAUGGCCGGUGAGAAUCCCUGCGGCGGGCGGUGGAAGGUCGCUUCGGAGCUUUCGGGCUGAAGCCGCAUGGCGCAUUUUGCUGUUCGGUGCGUAGGCGCGGGCGCGGCGGCGGCGUUAUGCCUUGGAGCUGCAGGGCGUUUCGCCUUGCGGGAAGUUAGGUGGUACCACGGAAGCAGGCUCUUCCGUCCUUUCG
rnacentral:ncRNA from 1 species